rnacentral:misc_RNA from 1 species
AGUUUGGUCUCUUAAAGAAUUCACUAGAACUUAUUCUCUGCAGUCGAAGUCAGGAGAUCCUUACACUUGAGGCUGGGGCUACCUUUUUUGAUUGUCCUCUUCUAUGAGUUGCUAAUGCACUGGAAUUCUCUACAAGGAAGCAUAGUUCAGGAAGCAACUCAAGAUGAAAAGGAGAUUUUAUAGUUUCAAACAGGAAACAAUAUGUUUAGUUUCAAGCAGGAAACAAUAUGUUUUGUCAGCAGCAGGCACCUAUUUCAGUAUUUUGUUGUGCUUCCACUCCUAUUUCUCACACUUUCUUGUGGACUAACUUUGCACAUUUUUUUUGGGAAUACCAGUCCUUUCUCUGCUAGAAGAUGUGCAUAUUGGGAUCCCA